UUCAGUGUUCAAAUAUAAAAAUGGUGCUAACUGUAGGAUGUAUAACGAAGCUAUAACCGAUGUUAUUUGGGUGUCCAAUGUGAGAUGCAUGAUACACUUUGAUUAGCGUUUUCAUUGUUACUUGUGCUUGUGUUAAUGAUUACAUUAGUGUUAACAUCAGAACUAUCUGAAUGGCUUGAGUUAUACUUCCCAUGGCUUUUGAAUGGUGACUUAGAGAUGAUGCUUUUUCCCCUUCUUGUUUUAGAGAUUACAUGUCCUUCAGCACAGAAAUAUAUGCACCAAACCCAGCGUGCUAGGCAGGUGUGCAUCACUUUCUUCAUCUCUUAGGUAACCGAAUACUUUUAACUUAUUGAGGAAGACUGGAACUUGAUGUUUACUUGAAUAAAUGGUUCUAAAUUUGGUUCUGCUUUGUUUAAAGAAACAAUCUUUCAAAACAAAACUGUUACAGCAGCUGACGGCUUAUUUAAAAGAAAUAGUUAACUUAUUUUCGCAUGGUUUAGUAAAUAUCUGUUAGUCUCUAACACAUUAACUUGCAGUUUGUUAUGACGUUGGUACUUGCAUUUUCGUAUUUAGUAAUUUUGCUUUCAUGUGCUUUAUGUUUUUUUCUUUUUUACCCACCUAUACUCUCUCUAUAAUGUCUACAAGAUCAGUGAAUAUUUUUUUCCUAAGAAAAAACUCAUCCUGCAUUCUUAAGUGCCAUAUUAUUGUAACUGUUGUUAAGAAGCCAUUUGUAAUAUAAAGCCUAGCUUUACCUGUUAGCAUACAUGUUAUGACUCAAAAACUAUAGCCGGGCAAUUUGUAGUUUUUCUUGUUCUUCCAUAAACUACCAGUUGUAGAUUUGAGAAUAUACUAUGAAACUAUGUAAAAUCAUCUUUAGUCAUAAAAUAGCACCAUACUUUAUAAAUAUUUGCACAGAUUAUGAAGCCUUGCAAGUAAUUUUUAGUCUCUUCUAAUCUAGCACUUAACAGGAGCUAAGAAAAUCAACUGAUAUUUUCUAUGUCACUUGUUUGAGUAUCAUAAUGACACAUAGCAAUAACUUUUUCAUUGAUUUGAAUAAAUCUGUUGAAUAGGAAUAAGGUGCACUAUUGUGGUUGGUCUGAACUUUAUUUAAAGAAAAGAAUUUAAAUUUACUUUUAAAAAAUCCCUAAUUUAGUCCUUGUGUUUAUAUCAAAUUAUUAAAUGUAUUCUGUUACACUAACUUUAAUAUCUUCCUCACAAAAGUGAAGUGAAUUUGAAAGACUAGAAAGUUAUUUUAAAUAUAAACAUAUCUAUUCUAAUCAUCCUGUUUUAAUAGUGGUUUACCCAUGUAUUUUUUCUGUUAUGCAAUUUAUAUAUAAUCUGUAGCCAUUUGGUAAAUUAGAUCAAAAAGUACGUACUGAUUUUUUUUAAUCUAAAUAUUUUAUCUGGCUUAAAAACUUAAUGCAAAACAUUUUGGGCAACAGAAGAAUCAUGUUCCUGUGAACAAAGUAUAAAAACAUAUAAAGCCAAAAAAAAAACCACUUAAAAUUUAGAAAUAUACUUAUUUUAAGAAUCCUGUUAUAUUGUUCAUAAUACCCAGAGCUACUAUAUGGCCUGACACCUGGUAAGUUUACAACAGAGAUUUCUCUUACAAACUUAAGAAGUUUCAUAUGAACACUGUGCUGAUAAGUUGUGAAUUUAAAGUUCCAUGUUUCUUAUGCUAAAAAGGAUGAAAUGUUAGAUUAUAAAUCCCCAGAAUAAAUGUUUUUAGAAAUACAUAUAUUUAAUAUAUUACAUAUAGAUAGAUAGAUAGGAUAUAUAUGGUUAUAUUACUAUAUAUCAAUAUACAUAUUGAUAUAUGUGUAUAUUAUCAUAUAUAUAAUAUGUAUCUAUCUAUAUGUAUAUAUUCAAGCAAAAUCUUGAAAGCAAUUUAAGACUGCUCAGAAAUAUUUUGGGAAAGAGUGAUAAGGGAAAUAGAAAUCUGAUCAAUUGCAAUGUCACUUAUCUUUUAUAAUUAUGUCAAAGAAUGUGUAUACAGUGUUUGGGUAUUUAAUAUUUACUGUAUGUAGUAAUUGAACUUAAUUGAUUUUUAAGGCAAACCCAAAGGAUAUUUGCAAAUUUCAUGUUUUUGCUAAUAUUACUUUAAAUGUGAAUGAGUAUUAAAUUAUAGGCAUUAGUAUCUAAUGAUAGAAAAAUGGCUCCUGGUGUUGAAAGUUUUUUAUAGUUUGACAUAUGAGGACUCUACUACAUACAUGUAAGACACCAUGUGAGAUGCUGAGGCGGCAUCUACUGAAAUGUAGAUAGGAUACAACCCUCUCAAAAGAGUAAAGUGUAACAGAGUGCAUUUCCUCCAGUAGUUAUUAUGAAAGUCUAUAGCUUACUUCCUUAUUUCUAAGGUCAUAGGAAGGAAUUUGAAACCUAGUUUAUAUAUAAAUACUUAGGGUUCAGUUAGGUUUUAAUGAUAGAAGCAAGACUUAUGAAAAUCAUAAUGUUUAUAGAAUCCAUGUGAGGCCAGGAACUGUGGCUCAGAGGUUAGACCACCUGCUGCUCCUACAGAAGACCCUCAUUUGGUGUCCAGCACCCAGAGGAGUAUAACUGCCCCACAGCUCCAACUCCAGGGUUCUGAUGCCCUUCCAGCCUCCCUGGGAACUCCCCACACAUAGACAC
rnacentral:lncRNA from 1 species